rnacentral:ncRNA from 1 species
UGGAACAAUGUAGGUAAGGGAAGUCGGCAAAACGGAUCCAUAACUUCGGGAAAAGGAUUGGCUCUGAGGGUUGGGCUUAGGGGUCUGCGGCUUGACCCUGUAGGCUGCUGGCGGUCUACCCGAGCUGCUUGCGCAGCGAGGGCGGGCCCCAGCAUGCCGACCUGGUGACGGACGCAGAACGCUCCCCCCGGGGGGCAUUCCCUAGGCAUCGAACAACUGACUCAGAACUGGAACGGACAAGGGGAAUCCGACUGUUUAAUUAAAACAAAGCAUUGCGAUGGUCCUUGCAGAUGUUGACGCAAUGUGAUUUCUGCCCAGUGCUCUGAAUGUCAAAGUGAAGAAAUUCAACCAAGCGCGGGUAAACGGUGGGAGUAACUAUGACUCUCUUAAGGUAGCCAAAUGCCUCGUCAUCUAAUUAGUGACGUGCAUGAAUGGAUUAACGAGAUUCCCAUUGUACUAUCUAGCGAAACCACAGCCAAGGGAACGGGCUUGG